GUGAGGAAUAUUGGUCAAUGGACGAGAGUCUGAACCAGCCAAGUCGCGUGAAGGAAGACGGUUCUAUGAAUUGUAAACUUCUUUUGUGCAGGAAUAAAGUGGGUUACGUGUAACCUUUUGUAUGUACUGUACGAAUAAGGAUCGGCUAACUCCGUGCCAGCAGCCGCGGUAAUACGGAGGAUCCGAGCGUUAUCCGGAUUUAUUGGGUUUAAAGGGUGCGUAGGUGGAUUGAUAAGUCAGUGGUGAAAGUUUGCAGCUUAACUGUAAAAUUGCCGUUGAAACUGUCGGUCUUGAGUGCAAAUGAGGUAGGCGGAAUGUGUUGUGUAGCGGUGAAAUGCUUAGAUAUAACACAGAACUCCGAUUGCGAAGGCAGCUUACUGGGAUGCAACUGACACUGAUGCACGAAAGCGUGGGUAUCAAACAGGAUUAGAUACCCGGGUAGUCC
rnacentral:rRNA from 1 species